GACGAACGCUGGCGGCGUGCUUAACACAUGCAAGUCGAACGGAAAGGCCCUGCUUUUGUGGGGUGCUCGAGUGGCGAACGGGUGAGUAACACGUGAGUAACCUGCCCUUGACUUUGGGAUAACUUCAGGAAACUGGGGCUAAUACCGGAUAGGAGCUCCUGCUGCAUGGUGGGGGUUGGAAAGUUUCGGCGGUGGGGGAUGGACUCGCGGCUUAUCAGCUUGUUGGUGGGGUAGUGGCUUACCAAGGCUUUGACGGGUAGCCGGCCUGAGAGGGUGACCGGCCACAUUGGGACUGAGAUACGGCCCAGACUCCUACGGGAGGCAGCAGUGGGGAAUAUUGCACAAUGGGCGGAAGCCUGAUGCAGCAACGCCGCGUGCGGGAUGACGGCCUUCGGGUUGUAAACCGCUUUCGCCUGUGACGAAGCGUGAGUGACGGUAAUGGGUAAAGAAGCACCGGCCAACUACGUG
rnacentral:rRNA from 1 species